rnacentral:rRNA from 1 species
UCCUACGGGAGGCAGCAGUGGGGAAUUUUCCGCAAUGGGCGAAAGCCUGACGGAGCAACGCCGCGUGAGGGAUGAAGGCCUCUGGGCUGUAAACCUCUUUUCUCAAGGAAGAAGAUAUGACGGUACUUGAGGAAUAAGCCACGGCUAAUUCCGUGCCAGCAGCCGCGGUAAUACGGGAGUGGCAAGCGUUAUCCGGAAUUAUUGGGCGUAAAGCGUCCGCAGGCGGCCUUUCAAGUCUGCUGUUAAAACGUGGAGCUCAACUCCAUCAUGGCAGUGGAAACUGAUCGGCUUGAGUAUGGUAGGGGCAGAGGGAAUUCCCGGUGUAGCGGUGAAAUGCGUAGAUAUCGGGAAGAACACCAGUGGCGAAGGCGCUCUGCUGGGCCAUUACUGACGCUCAUGGACGAAAGCCAGGGGAGCGAAAGGGAUUAGAUACCCCUGUAGUCCUGGCCGUAAACGAUGAACACUAGGUGUCGGGGGAAUCGACCCCUUCGGUGUCGUAGCUAACGCGUUAAGUGUUCCGCCUGGGGAGUACGCACGCAAGUGUGAAACUCAAAGGAAUUGACGG